AUUGAACGCUAGCGGCAGGCCUAAUACAUGCAAGUCGGACGGGAUCCGUCGGAGAGCUUGCUCGAAGACGGUGAGAGUGGCGCACGGGUGCGUAACGCGUGAGCAACCUACCUCUAUCAGGGGGAUAGCCUCUCGAAAGAGAGAUUAACACCGCAUAACAUAUGUGACCGGCAUCGGUUGGAUAUUAAAUAUUUAUAGGAUAGAGAUGGGCUCGCGUGACAUUAGCUAGUUGGUAGGGUAACGGCUUACCAAGGCGACGAUGUCUAGGGGCUCUGAGAGGAGAAUCCCCCACACUGGUACUGAGACACGGACCAGACUCCUACGGGAGGCAGCAGUAAGGAAUAUUGGUCAAUGGGCGGAAGCCUGAACCAGCCAUGCCGCGUGCAGGAUGACUGCCCUAUGGGUUGUAAACUGCUUUUGUCCAGGAAUAAACCUAGAUACGUGUAUCUAGCUGAAUGUACUGGAAGAAUAAGGAUCGGCUAACUCCGUGCCAGCAGCCGCGGUAA
rnacentral:rRNA from 1 species